UACGUAGGUGGCGAGCGUUGUCCGGAAUUACUGGGUGUAAAGGGCGUGUAGGCGGGAAAGCAAGUCAGAUGUGAAAUACCGAGGCUUAACUUCGGGGCUGCAUCUGAAACUGUUUUUCUUGAGUGUCGGAGAGGAAAGUGGAAUUCCCAGUGUAGCGGUGAAAUGCGUAGAUAUUGGGAGGAACACCAGUGGCGAAGGCGACUUUCUGGACGAUAACUGACGCUGAGGCGCGAAAGCGUGGGGAGCAAACAGGAUUAGAUACCCUGGUAGUCCACGCCGUAAACGAUGGAUACUAGGUGUAGGAGGUAUCGACCCCUUCUGUGCCGGAGUUAACACAAUAAGUAUCCCACCUGGGGAGUACGGCCGCAAGGUUGAA
rnacentral:rRNA from 1 species